CUCACGUCCUGGUUUUUGAUGUGCGCCACGGAGAAGCGGUUGUCGGAGGAGUACACCUGCGAGCCGGCCGUCAACAGGUGGUCCUCGUCUCGCUUCAGCCACGUCACCUGGGAAGCAAAGACACGUGUUGGGGUUAGCUUUGUGCAGCGAGCGAUGAACAUGAAAGAGUCAGGAGGUGCAGUAAGAACAACCGCAACAGAAAAAAAAGAAAACUCUCAUCCACGAAUGUUCGCAAAUGCCAACGUUCUUUUUCUCUAUCACGACCUUUUAACUGAAGAGCAAAAAUCAGUCUAUUUGCAUUAAUUAAUUUGGUACGAGAGAAUUAGAGUGUCGUUAUUUCUGGGUACUCAUCACUGACUUCCUUGAAACAAUAAAAAAUGUAUGCUGU